rnacentral:lncRNA from 1 species
UUUUUUUUUUUUUUUUUUUUUUUUGAGAACAGUAGGAUUUGGUAAACUGGAGGCUCUAGGGAACAGCAAGGGGAUUCAUUUGUCACCAGAACAAGAGAACUAAGAUUACACCAUGACUUAGAGUGAAGAGGAAGAAAACAGAGUCUUUAGAAGACUUACAAAGUGAAAUAAAGGAAAAAUGAGUAUUCCUUCUAUCUUUGAGUUGAAGAUGACUUAGCACAUCUACAUGUGUGACAGAUCACCACACACAAUUCUCGUGUGCUACUGACUCAGAAUCAGCAUAUACCUAUUGUACAAUUAGCUUUCCAGGUGUUGACAACAUUCAGCCAGUUUGGAGAACUGGUACAGUGGAUGUGGAACAGGCACUCUGAUCCAGGGAGCUGUUUGGUCUUCCUGCUGCAAGAACAGAGAAGCGCAGGAGUGAAUAGAACCAUGGGGCCUUGUGGGAUCAAGGUCAUAAGUUGCAUGAUAAAAAAUGGAAAGCAGAAUUUUGAAGAUCUAGCAUGUUUACAGAUGCAGGAUCUGGAAAGUAGCAAGGAAGCCCUGAUCAUUAAAUCCCAAGGUAAUUUAGCAGUAAGAUCAAGAGGAGGAGAUUGGACACAACAAAAUUUGCACUUUGAAAUUACACUUUGAAAAGGGCCUGAAAAUAGAGAGGACUGAUUUGCUACUUAAAUCCAUAUACCUGUAAAAAUUUCCUGAGUGCCCACUAUGUGCUAAGUACAAUGUGAGUAGUUUUACAGUCAUAAUUUUAAUCUUAAUGAAGAGAGCAUAAGGCAGGCAUUAUCACCAUUUUCCUGGGAGCAGCUUAAGCUCUGAAAAGUCAAACACCUUGUCCAAGUUUCUAAUCCAAGCCUUCUUUCUGUGAUGUGGUCCUGUUACCACAGAAUAUUCUGCAUUCCUCUCGCUAUUCCUGAAAACCACGCUAGUGGAGACAGCCUGCCUGAUAACCUUAACUCCACUUCUGCAGCUUGCAGGCCUCGAGGAACACCAAGGUUGAUCAUAAGGAAGGAACGAUGCAAUUUUCACGCUUUCUUUGACAAAAGGAUAUAGUGCUUAUUCCAUUGAAAUAAAGGAGCAAUUAAACAAAUUCAUGGGUUACAGUCUUGCUUUCCUUCUAUACUAAGAAAUAUGGGAAAAACAAAAGCAGACUUUGAACUCUCACCAUGUUCUGUAAAGACAUAUUACUUUAAAGUCAGAGUGAGUCAGCCAAAGAGAGGUCAUUCUCAGCUUUUCCUGAAGCUCUGUUUUCUCAAGCAUACUCCCAAAUAUUGGAUCCUGAAAAAAAAAAAAAAAAGGUUUAUGAUGUCCAAAGUAAACCAGCCAGAGGCAAGAGUAGCACUCAAAUGUCUUUUUAAUCAUUACUUCUUUUCCUCCCACUUCUCAGCAUGUACACCUAACUGCCAACCCACCAGGUGGUUGUGACAAGCAAUUCAAUAACUUCAAUAAAUGUAAGGACAUCAAUAUCGCCAAUGUAUUAAAAUACCUAAUUGUUACCCAAACGAGCAGGACAUCACAAUGAAAUCCUGAAAAUAAUACUUUUAAUUUUUUAAAUUUCUUUUUGGAAUAUACAUAUAUGUGUAUAAAAGUAUAUGUGCAAUAUGUGUAUGUGGAUAUCCAAACACACACACACACAAACUUUUCUUUCAGUUCUAACAUAGAACUAGUGAGCUACGAAAAUGCUAGAAACAUAAGGUUACUUUUCCAACUUCAGAAACAGUAGCAGUGGCCAGGAAGAAAAGAGAGGAUCUCUGUCAAGUCUGGGUGUGACCCCAGGUUUCUGUGUUCUUUAAGGACCAGAACAAAGGCGUGCAGAGGGCCAGGCAGCCUUGGUUGCGUUGGCAGUCGAAGUUCAACAUGCCCUGUUUUCAUCUUCCUUGGAUAGGACCAGAGUGCCAGGUGUGAUUUUUUGGUUCUCUGCCCAGGUUUGCAGGAAUUGCAAGUGGUGCCAGUCACAUUCAGUCACGGCCAGAAAGAGCAUCCUGAUCGUGAGCAUAUUGUACUGAGUCAGAGGAGGCCCCAGGCAGGCACAGAGAGUUCCAGGCACUCUUUUAGGGAUAACAUAGAAUAUCUUUAGGAUUCAAAGGAAAAAGUCUUCAUGAGGAUUGACCCUGGCAAAGAAUAAAACUAUGAUUUUUUUUUUGUACUUCAAUUGCAAGUGUCUUUUUCAUAAUGCAAAAUCCCAUGAACAUUCUUUGCCCUUCCGUUUUUGCACUGGUAGCCGUUAAGAUGGAAAACUGGACUAUUUAAUUGAUCUUAUGACUUCUUGAAGCACUAUCAUUUCCUUAAGGGAAAAAAUUAAAGGAAACCAAUGUUGUGCAGACUAUCCCAUUGCUAACAAUGUUGCUGUUGAAAAAAUUGACUGAUCCUUCCUAAAAUGGGUACUCGUUCAUUCAAAAACAUUUCUCCUGUUUUAAGUCUUUGGGCAAUUAAGAAAAACAACAGUAACCCAUAUUAAAAUGAUUAAGUAUGAAGAUGUUUGCUAUUAUAGAGACAAUGCUUCAGAACUAAAUAAAUGUAAAAGUGAAACCUUUACUCACUGUGAAAGAGUAACAGUGAUGUUUUCAUUUUGAAAAUAUAUUCUACAAAUGAACUUCUCAAAAUAUAUUCUUUAAGUCCUUAAGAAUGUAUGACUAUGGAAAAAAAUAAUUACCUCUUCAAGUUGAGGGGAGAAAAAUCGUUGGAACAGUUUAGGCAAUGCCUAUCCAAAAAAAAAAAA